GCCUGGCUAGCUCAAUCGGUAGAGCGUGAGACUCUUAUUCGCUAAGAGAGAUGAAAAUCUCAAGGUUGCGGGUUCGACCCCCGCGUUAGGCU
rnacentral:tRNA from 1 species